CCGUAGCCCAAGAGAUCGGGAUAACACCUGGAAACAGAUGCUAAUACCGGAUAACAACAGAUGAUGCCUAUCAACUGUUUAAAAGAUGGUUCUGCUAUCACUCUUGGAUGGACCUGCGGUGCAUUAGCUAGUUGGUAGGGUAACGGCCUACCAAGGCGAUGAUGCAUAGCCGAGUUGAGAGACUGAUCGGCCACAUUGGAACUGAGACACGGCCCAAACNUCCUACGGGAGGCAGCAGGG
rnacentral:rRNA from 1 species